UACGUAGGGUCCAAGCGUUAUCCGGAGUUACUGGGCGUAAAGCGUAUCGUCGGCGGGGUAGUAAGUGAAUGGUCUAAGCCUGGGGCUCAACUCCAGAUCGGCUGUUCAUACUGCUACUCUUGAGAGUGUUAGGGGAAGUUGGAAUUCUCGGUGGAGGGGUGAAAUCCGUAGAUAUCGAGAGGAACGCCAAUGGUGAAGACAGACUUCUGGGACAUUUCUGACGCUCAUGAACGACAGCUAGGGUAGCAAA
rnacentral:rRNA from 1 species